CUUUUCAAAUUUUCCCUCAAGUUAUGUUAUAAUUUUGUACUACUUAUUCUUAGAUCAGUUACUAUAAUCAUUUGUAUUUGUGUUUCGAACUUGCCACUUUAUAAUAGCGUUUCGUAUAUCAUGAUCGAUGUAUUCAGUGCAGUAAAACAUAUUAGUCCGAAUAGCUUGAUUGAUGUCUCUUGUGUCCAUAUCACAUUACUAUUACAAGGAUUGAUGUACAUUUUAAAUCUAAUAUAUAACCUAGCAAUAGAUAUUAAUAAAUAGCUUGUGAUUUUAUAAGAACUGUUCAUUAAAUCAUAAACGGAAAGGUAAUGAAAUAAAUACCACCAUCAAUUGAAUAUAGCAAGAACUUUAUAAAAGACGAGGCAGACUCACAGAUGGUUUAAGUAUAUUAGUAUAUGUCUCAAAACUCUGAGAAACGUAUGACGGUUUUGUAUUCGCAUUUUUUUUAUUCUUUUUUUUUGUUUUUUUUUUCUUUCAAAUAGAUCACACAUGAAAAAAAGUUGUUGCAUAAAGAGAUGUGUUUAUAUCGUGCGUAAAAAGUACGAACAUACAUCAAUCGAAAAAGAGUUAUUAGUCAAGGAUAGAAGCUGAAAAAGGAAACGCUCGACUAGAUUUGAUAAACUCCCUCUUGUUAUGUUAUAUUAUAAAUUGUCGAAAUUAACAUGUUUCUCUUCUUAUCUAACCUUAACGACCAAAACUCAUUGACGUUAUCGUAAAAAAUAUACAUAUAUGUUCAUGGUCGUCGAUCGUUUGCAAAUUAUUUAUUACUUAUCGUUUAUCAGUUAUUAUCAUAUCUUAGAAAAAUAAUUGUUUAUUUCUAAUUGUACAAGAGAAAGCAUGACAAUAAAGUAUGAGAAUACUGGUAAUAUUGUAACGAAAGAGGGAGUUCUAUUAUUAAGAAAAAACGUGACUUUCGCUCCUAUUGGAGGAAUAUUGGGAAAAAUGUACAACAAGGAAAAUUAUUUCGAAUAAAGUAAUUUGCUUCGCAAGCGAUUGUAGUUUUGUAAAUUAAUGUGUGAAUCAUUUUUAUCGCGAAAAUGACAAGGAAAUUGAUAUUAUUUUAUGAUAUCAUCGUCCAUCAGCGCGAUAUGACGUGAAACUUCAGAAUAAGAAGAAACUUCGAUAGAAUAUCGAGUGAAAAAUCGAUUUUCAGUAUUUCGAUUUUUAUCAUGAUCUUCGAUACUUAUCGAUUUCUGUUAGUUAAGUCGGGUUAUGGAGCAUUGAUAUUUGUGAAUAUAUUUGAUAGAAUAAAAUAAAAAGAAAAAAAUUAGUACAAUUUUGAAAGAUUUGAGAAAUAAGGAUGUGAGAAAAUAUUUUUAAAAAUUAUAAAAUUAAUGAAUUAAGAAAUAAGAAAAUAAAAAGAGAACAAAAAAAAGCAAGAAUAGUGUGACCUAAACGAAAAAAAAAAAAAUGAUUCAAAAUGCAUAUUCAUUUAAUUUUCAAAUAGUUAAUCCUAAAUAGUAAUAGUUAAUCAAAUUCCAUAAAUCUUGUAAAUUUUCUAGAAUUUUUAACGAUAAAUAUGCACUAUCGAUUAUACUCUUCAUUUUAUAUCUCGUUUUUAAGGAAAACCGAUAACCUAGAAACAAGUACAAUAUUAACGUCCUUCCUCUCCUCUGAAUCCCAACGUUUUUGAAAAAAGUUACAAACGCGGAAUAUCGAUAGACAAAAAUUAAUUAUGCGACGCUGGAGUGGGGAAGAGCAAUAUCGGAUGGAAUUCAUGGAACGAACGGAAAAUAGAAGCCGAUUUUUCGAAUUCAUCGAUUCAUCGAUUCAUCAAUGGAUCGUUCAAUAUCGCAUAUCGAUUUCCAAAGGUCAAUUGACAUAUGAUGACGUAAAAGAAUCGGAAACUUAAUAAAACAAUUUUAUUCUGAAGAAAGAGGUUAUGAAUGAUGGAAAAGAAAAUAUAUAAAUGCUUGAAAAAUAUGAUGGUAAGAGAUGGAAUCAAGAAUCAAAUCAGAGAGAGAGAAAGAGAGAGAGGAAUGAAGCUCCUUGACCCGACUGAUUUGAUAAAUUCCAAGCAUUUCUGCCAUUCUAUAGCAUAGUUAUAUGUGUAAAUAUGUAUUCCGCUUCAUGUUCUAUGUUUCUUAGCGAUGAUGACCCGCACCCGGCCCUCGCGAGAAUGAGUUUAAUUGACUGAAGUGCCGAGCCGAAUCACGGGUACACUUUGAAGCAUGUAUGGAAGUUCGUUAAUAUCGACGAUAUAUGGGAGAUAAGACAGGUUAAUUUACUAAUUUGUUACAAUAUUUUAAAUGUCAAUAUCCAAUUAAUUCUCAUUUGAUUUAUGCAUAUUAUUCGAAUUUUGUAUAUUAUUUACGUAAUAACCUAACUUUUUAAUGCAAUUAAAUGAAUUGGAUUUUUUUGGAAUAUGUACGACACGAAUGAAUGAGAUUUCUAGAUUAUUAAGAAACAAAAAUAAGAAGAUAUGGAAAAUCUAGUGUGUGAAUAAACGUAACUAUAGAAUGUUUCGUAAUAUCAGAUGUCGAGGCUUUUGAAAAUUGAAUACCACUUGAACUAACUGAAAUGCUUGCGCUGUUGCUAUUUUAGAUAUCCAAAACAUCCAGAUAUUAGAUACCUUACGUAUUCCGAAUAUUGAAUAGAAUAUUUCAUGUUCCAGAUAUUCGAAUUCCGUUUCUUUUAAGGUUCUUUGUGUCGUCGUGAAAUGACGAAGAAAAAGAAGUAUAAACGGAUAAACGUAAUCUUGACAGCUUUACGAAUUUAAGUUAAGGCGCUAUAUUAAAAUGGAAAUAAGAUUUCGUGGGAAUCUCAGCCGUCUGCAAUCUUGAAUAAAUUUUUGCUGAUUCGAAAGCAAGCAUUUUUUAUAAUGGCUACGAUUUGCAAUACGAUACAAAAUGACACAAAAAAACAAAGGUAAUUACUGGCGAAACGAGUUUAUUUAUUGCUUUUAUCUUCGCCAAUCAUAUCACGUGCUUUCUUAUCGUUUAAGCCUGAAAGCUAUGAAAAAAGAGAUAGAAUAUUAGAUAGAAUAAGUAGAACGUAAUUUUUCCGCGAUUAACGUUCAAGCGAAAAUUAUGUUGGAAAUUAAACCAUACAAUAUGGUAGAUAUAUUAUCAGAAAUUAUAACACAUAUUGUACCAAAAUCAAAAAGAAGCCGGGGAAUAUGGUUGCAGUUAAGAGAGAUAUGAUAAUGCGAAUUAUAUAACGAAGAUUACGCGAGAUUUAUAUAAUGAAUUUAACAACAGAUAUCGUCGAGUUAAUGUCUAAUUGAAGAAUAUAAUUAUUUUUUUAUCGUUGGAAACGAAACGAUAAUGCCACGAUCAUGCGAUUCGCUUGAAAUCCUUCUCCGCUUCGCGCAUACUAUAGGCACAACUCUCUUUUAUUUAAAUUUCAUUCUUAAAUCAUCAACAGUUUAGUACAGUUAUAUAAUAUGUACAAAGUAUACAGACUCCGCUACUUCAGAGGAGGGACACAACUUUCAUGCGAUGUAUCGUUUUUUUCUCGAAUGAAUUGCUGCUUCCAGUUAAAAGCACCGGUUCGAAUUUCGCGGAUCUUGCCAUUCUCGUUGCUUAUUAAAAUUGUCUCGAAUGACUCUGUCGAAGUGGAAAUAAAAGAAUAGCUUUGAACGAGGAAACGAAGAGAAUUUAAUCUACCGUUAAAAUUUUUCUUUGAAAAUUAUCUCAUAGAAAUAACUAUAUAUUUUUCAGAAUCUACUUUAUCAAGAUCGAACAGACAAUUCCGAUUCCAAGAGCAUAAUCCAAGGAUAGAAUGAAAUCGGAGAUGUAUCGACAUCAAAAAUCGAAGUAAUUUUCGUAAGCAUGAAAUGCAAGGAAGAAAUGAAAAGACAUUAUUUUGGGGAGGAAAGCUAUCAGCUUUCUCAUCGGUGCUUUUAAUCAGGUAUUGGGGGGAGGGUCGACGAGUUUCGUGUGUACAAGCAAGCACCGAUUCAACUACACACGUGCGCGGUACACGACGAUUCAUGGUGGACUGUUAGACGUAAUAUCUAACGUGUGAACUAACUGGUGUAUCGAUCGUCUUGCUACUGAUGCGAUGUAUACUGAUGCAAGACGUGCACGUAUCGGAUGGAGGAAAGAACAGGAUACGAAGCUUUCAAAUGGGACAUCAUAUCGGCAUCAAGAUAGAAGAGAUAAGGAGAAACAGUUUCACGAAUCGGUUGUAGAAUUCUCACUGUUUCAAGAAAA